rnacentral:rRNA from 1 species
GACGGAGGAUGCAAGUGUUAUCCGGAAUCACUGGGCGUAAAGCGUCUGUAGGUGGUUUAAAAAGUCCACUGUUAAAAAUUGAAGCUUAACUUCAAAGAUGCCGUGGAAACUUUUAAACUUGAGGAUGAUAGGGGUAGAGGGAAUUUCCAGUGGAGCGGUGAAAUGCGCAGAUAUCAGGAGGAACACCGGUGGCGAAGGCGGGUCUCUGGGCCGAAACUGACGCUGAGGAGCGAAAGCGUGGGGAGCGAACAGG